UACGAGGGGGGCAAAUGUUGUUCGGAAUCACUGGGCGUAAAGGGUGCGUAGGCGGGUGUUUAAGUUAGGGGUUUAAUCCUGGGGCCCAACCCCAGUCGUGCACCUAAAACUGGACAUCUUGAAUAGUGGAGAGGUCAGUGGAAUUGGGGGUGUAGCGGUGGAAUGCGUAGAGAUCCCCAAGAACACCAGUUGCGAAGUCGGCUGACUGGACACAUAUUGACGCUGAGGCUCGAAAGCAUGGGGAGCAAACGGG
rnacentral:rRNA from 1 species